GAUUCCCCUAGUAACUGCGAGUGAAGCGGGAAAAGCUCAAAUUUAAAAUCUGGCAGCUUUGGUUGCCCGAGUUGUAGUCUGGAGAAGCGUUUUCUGUGUUGGACCGUGUACAAGUCUCUUGGAACAGAGCGUCAUAGAGGGUGAGAAUCCCGUCUUUGAUACGGACUGCCAGUGCUUUGUGAUGCGCUCUCAAAGAGUCGAGUUGUUUGGGAAUGCAGCUCAAAAUGGGUGGUAAAUUCCAUCUAAAGCUAAAUAUUGGCGAGAGACCGAUAGCGAACAAGUACCGUGAGGGAAAGAUGAAAAGCACUUUGGAAAGAGAGUUAAACAGUACGUGAAAUUGCUGAAAGGGAAACGCUUGAAGUCAGUCGCGUUGUCCAGAACUCAGCCUGGCUUUUGCCUGGUGCAUUUUCUGGUUAACGGGCCAGCAUCAAUUUUGACCGCUGGAUAAAGGCCUUGGGAAUGUGGCUCUCUCGGGAGUGUUAUAGCCCAUGGUUGCAUACAGCGGUUGGGAUUGAGGAUCUCAGCAUGCCUUUAUGGUCGGGGUUCGCCCACGUUCAUGCUUAGGAUGCUGGC
rnacentral:rRNA from 1 species